AUUGAACGCUGGCGGCAGGCUUAACACAUGCAAGUCGAGCGGGGUGAUGGUGCUUGCACUAUCACUUAGCGGCGGACGGGUGAGUAAUGCUUAGGAAUCUGCCUAUUAGUGGGGGACAACAUCUCGAAAGGGAUGCUAAUACCGCAUACGUCCUACGGGAGAAAGCAGGGGAUCACUUGUGACCUUGCGCUAAUAGAUGAGCCUAAGUCGGAUUGGCUAGUUGGUGGGGUAAAGGCAUACCAAGGCGACGAUCUGUAGCGGGUCUGAGAGGAUGCACCGCCACACGGGGACAGAGACACGGCCCAGACUCAAACGGGAGGCAGAAGUGGGGAAUAUUGGACAAGGGGGGUAACACUGAUCCAGCCAUGCCGCGUGUGUGAAGAAGGCCUUAUGGUUGUAAAGGACUUUUGUCAGGGAGGAAAUCCCUAGUGCUAAUAACACUGGGGGAUGACAGUACCUGAAGAAUAAGCACCGGCUAACUACGUGCCAGCCGCCGCAGUAA
rnacentral:rRNA from 1 species